AAUCAAUUUGCAAAUUACUCAGGAUACGUUAACAAGCCGAAUUUUUACUUUGUUCACUGCUUUUUGGACGAAGAGGAAUUAGAUUUGUGGAAGAAAUUUGAUACAACGAAAGAUUCCUACUGUGAACAAUGGUUCCAAGUCCUUUCUUGUUGCUUAUAAACGUCUGGCCUUUUAUAUAGCUGUCACACAGUCACAUUUCGAUACUUGCUAGCUGAAAUUUCGAUAUGACUACCGGCGUUUCCCUACUAAACCAGUAUGUUUUGCUAUUGCAAAAUGUCGUACAGGAAAACAGGCUUCUUGAUUAGAGAACAGGUGGCCAAUUAAUACAAUUACACCGAGUGAAAAUGCGCUGAAGAAUUAUUGAACAACGGCUCGGUCUAAUACUGGGAGACGAGUCAGGCACUCAGACAAGCGGGGCAAAUUAUACAGAGAAUGGCCAAGGCUUGCAGUGUAAGUAAAACGUUUAUUUUUACAGUGUACAUUUCCGUUUAGAAUUGUCAGACAAAUUAUGCUCAUUGCUUCCUACAGUAUAUGUGUAUGAAUAUAUGAACUUUGUCCAUUUGGCCGUUAUAAAAAUACAGUCCAUCCGAAAUAUUGGAGCCAAAUUUGAAAUCCUUUUCCAAAUCAAUGACAUCUACAUACUGUAAUUAUGGUCCAGUAUUUGCGUUUAAUUUAGCUAAAUAUAGUACAAUGGAAUUAGGAUGCACUUGUCAAUUACUUUUAUUAUUAUUAUUAGUUUAAUAAAAUCGUAUCGCAGUACAAUUUUAACUGAAUUACACGAUUAUAAAUAUAACAACUGAAUAAAAUAUAUACAUAGAGUCACAAUGUUAAAGUUAUGUCAGAGGUUGCCAAUUAUCUACAUUUAAAAAGCCUGUUAAAGGCAGUUACAACGAUAAAUUGUAAAUUUUUAAUAUAUCAUUCAAUACUUUGAUAUAUCAAUAAUUGUAAAUUUUUAAUUAUAUAUCAUUCAAUGUAAAUUUUUAGUAUAUCAAUACUUAACUAUUUGCCCGACCCCCUAAGACAGGCUGACCUGACUAAUCUUGUCUAAUCCCCCAACCCAAGGGGGGCCUAAUUUGAAAUUUUUAUUGAACAAAAUUCUUAUUUUCAAGAUAAAAGUAAUAUCAGGACAUUAAAAUCUAAUUGCAUAUGUAAAUUAAAUAGUAUGUGCGAUCAGGCAGCUAUUCUGUGAGAAAAUAAAUUCACAACUGAACAUGUACAGUAAAACUAUUUUGUCACUAUAAAGUGAAACAAACAGAAUAUAGAACUUCCAAAUGCGAACAAAAAAUGACCUGAUCCAGAGAUAAUUGACUUUAAGAAGACCAGGCACAGGCUCCACUCAACACGGCAAUCCUAGCCUGCAAGCGGGCUGUAUCCAUUCCCACAUAAUGCCCCACAUAGCAGGGUAGGGGAUCGAUAAGAGGAAAAUCCCCUGGCACCUAGUCAGGCAUAAGUGGGAAAACGCCCUACAUAACCCCACGUACCUUUCCCCAAGGUUGGGGGUGGGGGUUACAAUUGACAAGUGCAUUAGCCUUACUAUAUGCAAUACCUGCUUCCUAAAAUUUCUAGUAUUUGAUGCAUUCAAGUGCAUCAAUACUGUAUUGUACUAUUGUCUUCAUAGCUUAGUUGAUUGGACUUAGGGUUAGGCCUGUUUAUAUGGAAGCCGGAUUGGCCCGCUUAUAGCGAGACAGCAUGGUAUGCAGGAUGAAUUGCUCAUGUACUUAUACGAGAAAAUUUCAUCCUGCUUGCCAGGGCAAUUUUAUUAUUUUGAUAUAUUUUAUUGUUUUGACAGUAAGUUAAAAAUAGCUUGUGGCACUAUAUUCGAACUUUCAUCCUGGCAAACAGGCUAGGCCGCUCGUAAGUGUUUAUAUGGAAAAAUUUCUAUCCCGGUAAGCAAGAUCUUGUCCCUUUCGAGCAAGAUCUCAGCAACCAGGCAGCCUGUUUGUCCACAUGAAUGCACAAUAAUUUUUACUAUAAAAAUUAACUACACAGCAAGAUCUUGCCAACCGGGCUGUCUCGCAUAGCAGGCCAGCCCCAGCUUCCAUAUAAACAGACCUUUAGAUACUAUCUCACUAUAUUAUACAUAUAAUAUACAGAGCUAUAAUUCUAGCUUAUUAUAAAGUACUAGUACCCAAAAGCGGGGUUUUAACAGUGCUCUGCCUCUGCAGGGGGAAUACAAAUUUAUAACAAAUGUCAUCCUUUUGAUGCCCAUUUGAACACAUGACAUAAAGACCAACACACAUGUAUUUUCAUAGGAUUAAAUUUAACCUAGAAAGCUGAUUAUUUCGACCCAGCCAUCUGGUUAAUUUAACAAUUCAACAAAAUUUUUAGUACGCUGGAAUUUAACAGUUGUAAAUUUUCAAAUUCCCGCAUAUUCCUGAGUUCAAUGUUUUGAUUGACUAGUGCUUUACUUGGGGUUAAAGAAAACUGUAUGCUUUUGGAAUACAGACAAUAUACUUUUGGGUUUUCUCACUAAUUUACCCUUAGGUAAACGGACUUGACCCAAGUCUAAGAAUAACCUAACUAUUUAGUUUGUCAUUAUGUGCUUAUAAUUCCCUGUUUCUUUAAUGCCUUUUACUGUAGCCCGAAUCUCUGCAUAAUGUUCUACUGUUCAGUGGACUAGUCCAAGAGUUGUAUCAUGAAUCGGUGGACAGGAAAUUGUCCCUGGUCAGCUUUUAUUUGAAAAGGUAUAUGUUAGCCUGUUUAAUGAAUGUUA